rnacentral:rRNA from 1 species
GACGAACGCUGGCGGCGUGCCUAAUACAUGCAAGUCGAGCGGACUGUCCGGAGUGCUUGCACUCCGGAAGGUUAGCGGCGGACGGGUGAGUAACACGUAGGCAACCUGCCCAUAAGACCGGGAUAACAUUCGGAAACGAAUGCUAAUACCGGAUAGACGGACCUCUCGCAUGGGGGGAGCGGGAAAGGCGGAGCAGUCUGCCGCUUAUGGAUGGGCCUGCGGCGCAUGGGCUGGUUGGUGGGGUAAGGGCCUACCAAGGCGACGAUGCGGAGCCGACCUGGGAGGCUGAUCGGCCACAUGGGGACUGGGCCACGCCCCAGGGUCCUGCGGGAGGCAGCAGUAGGGAAUCUUACGCAACGGACGCAAGUCUGACGGAGCAGCGCCGCGUGAGAGAGGAAGGCCUUCGGGGCGUAAAGCUCGGUUGCCAGGGAAGAACGGCUAGGGGAGUAACUGCACUGGCCAUGACGGUACCUGGGAAGAAAGCCCCGGCUAACUACGUG